rnacentral:rRNA from 1 species
AACGCGAAGAACCUUACCUACCCUUGACAUACAGCGAAUUUUGCAGAGAUGCAGAAGUGCCUUCGGGAACGCUGAUACAGGUGCUGCAUGGCUGUCGUCAGCUCGUGUCGUGAGAUGUUGGGUUAAGUCCCGUAACGAGCGCAACCCUUAUCCUUAGUUGCCAGCACGUAAAGGUGGGAACUCUAAGGAGACUGCCGGUGACAAACCGGAGGAAGGCGGGGACGACGUCAAGUCAUCAUGGCCCUUACGGGUAGGGCUACACACGUGCUACAAUGGCCGGUACAGAGGGAAGCGAAGCGGUGACGUGGAGCAAAACCUAAAAAGCCGGUCGUAGUCCGGAUUGAAGUCUGCAACUCGACUUCAUGAAGUCGGAAUCGCUAGUAAUCGCGAAUCAGCAUGUCGCGGUGAAUACGUUCCCGGGCCUUGUACACACCGACGCGUA